rnacentral:rRNA from 1 species
UACGUAGGGUGCAGGCGUUAUUCGGAAUUACUGGGCGUAAAGCGUGCGCAGGCGGUCUGCUAAGUGAGGUGUGAAAUCCCCGGGCUUAACCUGGGAACUGCGCUUCUAACUGGCAGGCUUGAGUGUGGCAGAGGGGGGUGGAAUUCCACGUGUAGCAGUGAAAUGCGUAGAGAUGUGGAGGAACACCGAUGGCGAAGGCAGCCCCCUGGGCUAACACUGACGCUCAUGCACGAAAGCGUGGGGAGCAAACAGG